ensembl:lncRNA
AAACAAUAUAUUGAAACAACUUUUUGACUUGAGUAACAGCUUAUUUUGUCAGACCUUUGAUUUUCGAAAAAGAAAGAAAUGUCGUCUCUCCCGAUCACAGAAACGAUUUAACUAAAAGAAAAGAAAGAUUUAAAAUAAAGAUUUGUGUGUUAACAUCACAAUAUUUAAAGCAUAUUACAUAUAAUUAAAUUGCAAAUGUGUUACUCAGCCAAGGGGUCUGUUAUUACUUAUUUUUGCUGCAUGUAGCAUUUUUUGUUCUUACAAUUCACAUCUUCUUUCUUUCUUUUGUUUUUUACUCCAAACUAUCAGCGUCGUUUCGUGACAUGUGUGUAUAUUUAGGAAGACAAGUAUAACCGCAUUAGCACAAAAGGAAUCCUUAGACAAACAAUCAAAAUCCCAGCUUGACCUCGAGAAGAAGAAGAAGAAGAAGAAGUCUUCUCGCGCUGCGCGAUGAGCACGCUCCGAACUGCACACUGGAAAACGCGCGCCCGGGCUGACGGCCUCAUGGGAGGUUUGAACGAGUCUUGAUGGGGUCACGAAACUCACUCAGCAGACAGACGCCCGGGUCAACUUUCAGUUCAGGUAAGAGAAAGAAAAACAAGCAGAGUUGCAGUUUGUGGCGCUUCUUCAGCGGCGGGCGGACGCUGCUGACACACGCGGCUCCUGAAAGGCAGCAGAGAUACACUGGAGGGGUCAAUCAUACACUCACUCAAUGCAUUCCUGCCUUCCCCCUGAGCUUCGUCUUUCUUUCAUUUCUUUUCUUCUUAUGGGGGCCGGAGGGGUACGGGGGGGGGGUGUACGGGGGAGGGGGGGGUGGUGGAGCUUGCGAAAACAAAAACCCUGGAAGAAAGAGAGAACGGAGAGAGAGAGAGGAGAGGACAGAAAGGGAGAGAGGAGGAAUAGAAGAAGAAAGGGCGGGCAGAAGUUAAAGUGAAUCACUUGUGGGGGGGUGGGGGUGGGGGGGGGGAGCGUCACGAGUGGACGGCGUGACAGGCAGCUUUCAUCACGGGCCGCCCUGUCAAUUCAGUAUGAUUAAUGUGCCUGCUCGGGGACGACCUGAAUGAGAAAUAUGACUACUGUCUGCUAAUUUGUUUAGUAUUGAGCUGCUUAGACAAGGGCUGGUGUGUGUGUGUGUGUGUGUGUGUGUGUGUCUGUGUGUGUGUGUGUGUGGGGGGGGGGGGGACAGGCCCAUCCAUCCUUGAAAAAAGUGAAGAAAAGAUGCUUGAACCAAAGCCUGCAACUCACUCUUUUGAUUGACACACUGUCUAUCCAGAAAGGUCCACACAGCCAUGAGGGGGUUCUGUGUGUGUGUGUGUGUGUGUGUGUGUGUGUGUGUGUGUGUGUGUGUGUGUGUGUGUGUGUGUGUGUGUGUGUGUGUGUGUGUGUGUGUGUGGGUGUGUGGGUGUGCGCGUCCCGCGACUGGCAGCUGGGUUCCUAAAGCUGUCAAUCAUUCUAACAAUGUGCACCGGGGUGCCAUCCCCCUAAUGGCGUCCCUUUCUCUCUCUCUCACACACACACACACACACACACACACACAUUCUCAGGAAAUGCUGCAGAGUCUCUUCCUGUUGAAUUGUUGUCACCGUCUUAAUGUAAUGUUACGCUCAUGUGCGCGUUUGCUACAUUAAACCAGUGAUGAAAAAGACAUUUGAAGCAACAUUUCUGCUGUUUUUCUUCUUAACUUGUGAGUUUCCAUGUGACAGAGUAAAUAAACACGGCUCGGUCGCCAGGCAGGUUUUAUUUACUGUAUAACAACAAGUCGAACCUAUAAUGACUGCUAACAGCUCAUAAAACACACACAACUCGCCCGCUGAUGUCUGCAGGACAGCGAUGCCCCUCGACCGUUUCUUCCCUUUUGCCCUCUCAUCCCUCCGCUGAAUGGAACAUUUACUGGGAGCGCCCACACACACACGCACACACACACACACACACACACACACCCUCACUUACACACUGCAUGCAUGCACUCCUUUGCUGCUGAAACAGCCCCUCAAAGACAUUCACAAGUGGAGCAACAACGCCCUGCACGCCUGGAUGAUGCAGCCAAGACGACGCAGCCUUUACCCCACCUAGACACACACGCACACACACACACACACACGCACGCACGCACACACACGCACACAGGGAUGAUCUUUGAAGCCCAGGCGAGGUGAGCCGGGGAUCACGGAGAUUGAUGCGGCGGCACGCAUCCUUUGAAACAACAGCCAGAGUUGUGACAAGUGGUGAUUAGCGGGCGCUUGUGUCUCUAAGCUUCACCCGGUGUCCGUCUCCAAGGAGAAAAAGAGACAUCCACCCUUUUUUCGUGCGUGUUUGUGUUUCACACAAGUCUGAGUCUGUGUCACAGUGUGGGCGAAGGUGUCUCGCUUGUGUAUUGACUGUGUGUGUGUGUGUGUGUGUGCUCUACAUGCACAUGCUCUGUUUCUUGAUAGAAAAGCUUCCAGCACCGAGGAUUCCACUUACUUUUGACCUUGAAUUAAACGGCACACGGGCCUCGCGUCCUAAAAGAACAAAUAACGUUCUCCUCGUCUUCUCCUGCUGAGGACACAGGCGGUAUUGGAGGGAUAAUAUGUAGUGAGUCCGAUUAACUGUAACUAGUAUAAAAAUAAAUGACCGGAGCUUCUACUGAACGGUUUUAACAGACUUUAAGCCGCUCCACUUGGCGUCACGGAUAUAACAUGCAGAGAAAAGUCAACCUGCGGAGAUCAAAACCCGGCGGGUUUCCACGGCGCACCACCCGGCGCGGGGUGGAUGUUUUCGCUCUGAGCGGUCGGCAGCGGCGGAUCUUGAGCACUGAACCGGAGCCGAGCAGAGUAAUUGUCUCUUUCCUCCUUAACAGGAUUAGAGCCCAGCGGUGUGGUGGGUUCAGGCCGCCGGUCAACCGUGCCGCCGCAGUCACUUCAGCCGGGGUCACUGAGCUCCUCGCGGGUCUGCAAGCCCACGUGAGAGGGGUCCCCCUAAUAAUAUAUAUGAUAUUUGAUAUUAUUCCUGUACUCAUGGAAGGCUACGUGCGGCAUGAACAUCGAUGCAAACACCCGACGCAGCGGAAAGAGAACCGUGAAAACACCCCACAUUCAUGUUAAUGUCCAACACGGACCGUCAGCGGGGGCCUUGCUUCACGCGUUGGACGUCUCUUUCCUCCUCUGCUCGGGGCCGUGGUGAACCUGAUGUGAUAACAGCUGACAGGUUACAUCUUCUGAUGAAGGGAGCGAAGAGGCCUCAGGCACCAACUUUUGUGUGUUUGUGUUUCCGAUAUUUGUGUGGACUCGAUUGAGCUUCAAGCCUUGAAUGUGAAGACAGUGAGGAUGUCUUGGAGAACAGAAGACAUUGUUUUGGCAGUGGGGACAUUUGAAGACAUUGAAAAGUGGAAAUAUUUUGGGAAGAAAUGGUGCCGUGUUUGCGUAGCAAGGAGAUACUGUUUUUCCAAAGGAUAUUCUUGGCCUUUUUCUGCACCUCAAUUCUUUUAAUGUUGAUUAUCGCAUUCAUGUGUGUGCGCUUCACUGUGUAUCAGUAACCCAAACACACACACACACACACACGCACACACACACGCACACACUCACUCACAGGUGGAUCAGCAGACAGUUUAGUUGCAGGUUUUCAGUCCAUUGAGCGCAGACAUUAAAUGUUGAAAGGCUUUUCCUCCUCCUCUCUGCUUCUUCUCACCUCUGUGUAACCCCGAACGCACACACACACACACACACACACACACACAUCUCUACACAUUCUCUCAUACACAUCUUCACACGUUAAUGACGCUAAUUACAAGCAAUUACUCGACAUAUCUGGCGCUGCUGCCCUCCGGCUGUGUUCCGAGCGUGUUCACUCAGAGGAAGGCCCAAUGACCUGAAGGUAGCUGAAGGCCUCACACUCCGUCGCUGUACUUUUGAGUGCUUUAGUUCAUAAAGACGACUACAGCCGCCUUCAACUUCAGACAAAGUCUUCUUACAUCAACUUACAGAAACACGUCGUCAUUUGUUGAUGCGUUCAAGGAUGCUUUGACAUCUGAUAUUUAAGAAAGAAACCAAAUAAGUCACAUUGUUCUUUCCACAACAUCCACACUAAAUAGUAAUUGUAAUGUGAAAAGAUAAAAUAUGUUAAUGUACUUUUAUUUUCACUGCAUGUUUAAGAGUGUCCAAACUCACAUUGAUCAGCAUCUCAAUAGUCUUAACUUAAAACUCUUAUCUGUUACAAUGAGCUCAGAUCCAUUUCAGUCCGGUAUGCAAAUCCCUCUCACUCCGCUACUGUCAAUGUUUGACCGAGGCCUUAAAGCGGAGGAGGUGAAACCUGACCAAACAUCUGUGGACGGAGGCUUAUCCGGCCGGCAGACUGCAGGCUGCAGCUGGUCUCUGCCGGGUGUCUCGCAGUCCCCCCGUGCG